GUGAAUCAUCAAAUCUUUGAACGCAUAUUGCACUCUCUGGUAUUCCGGAGAGUAUGCCUGUUUGAGGGUAAUUAAAUAGAAUAUUUAACCAAUUUUUUUGGUUUAAGGAUAUGAGUUCUCCGCGUUUAUAGCGGUAGCUUGAAAUAUAUGGUCAAGUCCCAUUUUAGUCGAGACGCGUAUUAAUAUUAUUUCUCGAAAUCUUCAUUAUGUGACUAUCAAG
rnacentral:misc_RNA from 1 species